rnacentral:rRNA from 1 species
UACGUAGGCAGCGAGCGUUGUUCGGAAUUACUGGGCGUAAAGAGUGUGUAGGCGGUGCUCCAAGUCUGUUGUGAAAUCUCCCGGCUUAACUGGGAGGGUGCGGCGGAAACUGGAGUGCUUGAGUGUGGGAGAGGUAAGCGGAAUUCCUGGUGUAGCGGUGAAAUGCGUAGAUAUCAGGAGGAACACCUGUGGUGUAGACAGCUUACUGGACCACGACUGACGCUGAGACACGAAAGCGUGGGUAGCAAACAGG